CUUUCUCUCCCACUCCACCAUGUGAAGAAGGUGCUUGCUUCCUCUUCACCCUCUGCCAUGGUUCUAAGUUUCCCCAGGUCUCCCCAGCCAUGCCUCCUGUACAGCCUGUGAAAAUGGGUUGAUUAAACCUCUUUUCUUUAUAAAUUACCCAGUCUCAGGUAGUUCUUUAUAGCAGUGUGAGAAUAGACUAAUACAGAAAAUUGAUACCAGAGAAGUGGGGCAUUGAUAUAAAGAUACCUGAAAAUGUGGAAGUGACUUUGGAACUGGGAAACGGACAGAGGUUGGAACAGUUUGGAGGGCUCAGAGGAAGAUAGGAAGAUGAGGGAAAGUUUGGAACUUCCUAGAGACUUGUUGAAUGAUUGUGACCAAGAUGCUGAAAAUGACAUGAACAGUGAAAUCCAGGCUGAAGUGGUCUCAGACAGAGGAACUUAUUAGGAACUGGAGUAAAGGUAGUGACCUUGCUACCUUUAGCAAAGGUCUCUUUGCUAUCCUUUAGCAAAGAGACUGGCAGGCAUUGUGCCCCUGCUCUAAAGAUUUGUGGAACUUUGAACUUGAGAGAGAUGAUUUAGGGUAUCUGGCAGAAGAAAUUUCUAAGCAGCAAAGUAUUCAGGAUAUGGCCUGGCUGCCUCUAACAGCCUACAUUUGUUUGCAUAAACAAAGAAGUGACCUGAAACUAGAACUUAUAUUUAAAAGGGAAGCAGAGCAUAAACGUUUAAAAAAUUUUCAGCCUAAACAUGCAAUAGUAAAGAAAAACCUAUGUUCUGAGGAGGAAUCCAAGGCUGUAGAAAUUUGCAUAAGUAAAGAAGAGCCGAAUGUUAAUAGCCAAGACAAAGGGGAAAAUGCCUCCAGGGCAUUUCAGAGACCUUAGCGGCAGCCCCUCCCAUCACAGGCCUGGAGGCCUAGGAGGGAAAAAUGGUUUUAUGGGCCAGGCCCAGGACCCUACUUCUCUGUGCAGCCUUGAGACAUGAUGCCCUGCAUCCCAGCCACUCCAGCUCCAGCCAUGGCUAAAAGGAUCCAAGGAUGUUUCCCUGUCUCAGGGGUUCUACAUGCCUAUCCGUGGGUUUGCAAAGCCUGACAGCCCUGCAAUAUGGACUUGGUCCUGCUGUCCCUCUGGAAGCCCAAAUUCACAACAAUGAACUCACUUUCUUUCCCUGGAUGAGCUGCUCCAAAGUUCAGCACCUCAAUUGGAGUCCAGGUGUCGUGAUGGAACCCGGGGGAGAUGAGAGGGUAAGACCCUCGUGUACUGCAUCUCACAUCACCCUCCAAUGUCCUGUGUCUUCUUUGUCAAGGCAGACUAAGGGUGACCUAAUUUCCAACACGCAGGCCCAGAAACCUUGAAACUGACCAGCUCGAGCCUCCUUGCAAGCCUCUCCAGCUGUGAAAAUCCCCUGGCUCGUAGUCCUAUGUCGUCCACACGAUGCUUUUCCUGCAUUUUGCAGACAACUGCUGAUCCCCAAGGGCGGGCCAUGCAUGGCUGUAUCUCCCAUCCAGAGAACAUCUACAAAGCUCACGCAGCCAUGGGGUCUCAUAGUUUGACCUGGAACUGAUGGUGACUCCUGUCACCAACAGGAGUGGUCAAAACAUCCUUUCUGGAGUAUUAAGUGUUUGUAGAACCCUGGACAUUUAUGGUGGCAGAGUGUGUAGCAGCCUCAAGGAGAAAUCUUCCCCCUCCAUUGCCCCUUUCUAGAAUCGCACCAAAUAAUUGGGGUUCUCAGUAGAGUCUAGAGGCAAUCCCGGAGACUGAGGAAGGGGAGAGCCUUCCACUUUUCCAUUUCUCCCAAGCCAUUUUGUAUGCCUACAGGUGUCAGUAUAAACCAAAGAAUGUGCCUUGUCUCAGAUGAAAAGUUAGAGUAACCAUAUAAUUUAUUGUCUAAACCUGGACACUGAUGAGAGUGAAAAGGAGAGCUAUUAAUAACGAUGCCAGAACGACAGGUGUAGAUGGUGACUGUCCCAGGCAAACUGGGACAUAUGGUCAUGCUAUGACUGUGAGCUCUAAAUUGGUGCAGGCUCCUGUGCUGGCUGUCUAUUAGGUUUAUGUAUAAUAUAAUACCCAAGUGACCCUAGGUCCACAGGGUAGAGGGGUUGAGGAGGGUAAGGAAGAUCAGCAACCAUGCCUGCCUGAAGGCCAUGUGGAGGUAGGGAAUGGGGAGAAAGGGGAUCAA